AAUAAAACCUACGAUGAUGACAGAACCUGCUCCCCAGUGGUUGUGGUCGGGAUUUAACGAGCUGAGCGUGGAGCGCCUGGGACACAGCUGUCAGCCAGCACAGGUCCUUUCGCAUCCUUUCCCCCCAGGUGGUCCUCCCCAUGACCCAGUGAGGCAAGCAAGAAGGGGAGUUGCACCCCCAUUUCGCAGACAAGUUGCCCAGGGCACAGUGAGAGGGUGUGAUUUUGGCAUAAGUGGCAGAGCAAGGAUGGAACCCCACACCUUCUCACGGUCCCUCAAGAGGCAGCCUUGUGGGCAAAGGGCAUCUCAGAAACACUGCCACCCGCCUGUGAGGUCCAGGGGAGAAGGAUUCCAGGUGUCUCCACAUCUGACAGGUGAGCCAAUGAGAGGUGGACAUAGAAGGGGAAGCUGGUGUCAUCACUCACUCAGCAUCACGUUUCCUGAGCACCUGCUGUGUGCCAGGCGCUGUUCUGUUUGCUGGGCAUACGGCGCUGAACAAAAAGCAAAGGUCCUGACCGUCAGGGAGCUGACCUUUCCAAUGGGGAAGCUGACUUGGAUUUGAUUGCAAAUGUGGUUUGAAGCUGGGAGGGCCAGUCUGAUUGCCAGCUCAGCUAGGCGACUGUCUGUCGGUCAUCCAAACGCUAAGCUCGGUGUUGCUGCAAAGGUGUUUUGUAGAUGUGAUGGAAGUCCGUGAUCAGUGGCUUUGAA